rnacentral:lncRNA from 1 species
UUGCGUGUGGUGCUGAAAACGGAUGUUCAGUCCAAGGAAAAUGCAAAAUUUCACCGCCGAAAUUUGAUCAUAAGGAAUUUUUCAUCAUUUCGUGAUAUUGCAUAAAUAUAUUAUACAUUGGCGUUACAUUGUAGACGAACCAAGUUACUUGAGGCCGUAUGGCUACUGUUUAUGUUUCAUUUUUUUCAAAGAGAUUUAAUUAACAUUUAUGGCAUUGAUCCCUUACUACUUGCUGUGUUUGCUUUUGAUCUACGGGGACUGCAUCAAUCCAGGGAAGGUCUCACUCGUGUCUUCAAUAAUUCUUUUCUACUAGUGUUAGGACAGGGAGUAAAAUAUGCCCCCUAAGCAACAACCAAAAAAAGAUCCAAAGGCUGCCACAGCCAAGAAGAAAAAGGAAGGAGGAUCUCAAGGUGGUAAA